rnacentral:tRNA from 2 species
GCUCCCGUAGUUUAAUGGAUAAAACGAGACUCUUCUAAGGUCUUGAUGGAAGUUCGAUUCUUCCCGGGAGCA